rnacentral:rRNA from 1 species
AUUGAACGCUGGCGGCAUGCCUUACACAUGCAAGUCGAACGGUAACAGGUUAAGCUGACGAGUGGCGAACGGGUGAGUAACACAUCGGAACGUGCCCAGUCGUGGGGGAUAACGUAGCGAAAGCUACGCUAAUACCGCAUACGAUCUGCGGAUGAAAGCGGGGGAUCGCAAGACCUCGCGCGAAUGGAGCGGCCGAUGGCAGAUUAGGUAGUUGGUGAGGUAAAGGCUCACCAAGCCUGCGAUUUGUAGCUGGUCUGAGAGGACGACCAGCCACACUGGGACUGAGACACGGCCCAGACUCCUACGGGAGGCAGCAGUGGGGAAUUUUGGACAAUGGGCGCAAGCCUGAUCCAGCAAUGCCGCGUGCAGGAUGAAGGCCUUCGGGUUGUAAACUGCUUUUGUACGGAACGAAACGGUGAGCUCUAAUACAGUUUGCUAAUGACGGUACCGUAAGAAUAAGCACCGGCUAACUACGUGCCAGCCGCCGCGGUAACAC